rnacentral:rRNA from 1 species
GGCGCACGGGUGAGUAAUAUAUAGUUAACGUGCCUCUUAGUCUGGGAUAGCCAUUGGAAACGAUGAUUAAUACUAGAUACUCCUUCUCAUCAUAAGUUGAGUUGGGAAAGUUUUUUCGCUAAGAGAUCGGACUAUAUCGCAUCAGUUAGUUGGUGGGGUAAUGGCCUACCAAGACAAUGACGCGUAGCGGGUUUGAGAGGAUGAUCCGCCACACUGGUACUGAGACACGGCCCAGACUCCUACGGGAGGCAGCAGUGGGGAAUAUUGCACAAUGGGCGCAAGCCUGAUGCAGCCAUGCCGCGUGUGUGAAGAAGGCCUUCGGGUUGUAAAGCACUUUCAGUCAGGAGGAAAGGUUAGUAGUUAAUACCUGCUAGCUGUGACGUUACUGACAGAAGAAGCACCGGCUAACUCCGUGCCAGCAGCCGCGGUAAUACGGAGGGUGCGAGCGUUAAUCGGAAUUACUGGGCGUAAAGCGUAC